GAAUAUUGGACAAUGGGCGCAAGCCUGAUCCAGCCAUACCGCGUGGGUGAAGAAGGCCUUCGGGUUGUAAAGCCCUUUUGUUGGGAAAGAAAAGCAGUCGAUUAAUAAUCGGUUUUUCUGACGGUACCCAAAGAAUAAGCAACGGAUAACUUAGUGCCAGCAGCCGCGGUAAUACGAAGGGUGCAAGCGUUACUCGGAAUUAAUGGGCGUAAAGCGUGCGUAGUUGGUUGUUUAAGUCUGUUGUGAAAGCCCUGGGCUCAACCUGGGAAUUGCAGUGGAUGCUGGGCGACUAGAGUGUGUUAGAGGGUAGUGGAAUUCCCGGUGUAGCAGUGAAAUGCGUAGAGAUCGGGAGGAACAUCCAUGGCGAAGGCAGCUACCUGGACCAACACUGACACUGAGGCACGAAAGCGUGGGGAGCAAACA
rnacentral:rRNA from 1 species